rnacentral:rRNA from 1 species
UGGGGAAUUUUUGGGACAAUGGGCGAAAGCCUGAUCCAGCAAUGCCGCGUGUGUGAAGAAGGCCUUCGGGUUGUAAAGCACUUUUGUCCGGAAAGAAAUGGCUCUGGUUAAUACCUGGGGUCGAUGACGGUACCGGAAGAAUAAGGACCGGCUAACUACGUGCCAGCAGCCGCGGUAAUACGUAGGGUCCAAGCGUUAAUCGGAAUUACUGGGCGUAAAGCGUGCGCAGGCGGUUGUGCAAGACCGAUGUGAAAUCCCCGGAGCUUAACUUGGGAAUUGCAUUGGUGACUGCACGGCUAGAGUGUGUCAGAGGGGGGUAGAAUUCCACGUGUAGCAGUGAAAUGCGUAGAGAUGUGGAGGAAUACCGAUGGCGAAGGCAGCCCCCUGGGAUAACACUGACGCUCAUGCACGAAAGCGUGGGGAGCAAAACAGGAUUAGAUACCCUGGUAGUCCACGCCCUAAACGAUGUCAACUAGUUGUUGGGGGAUUCAUUUCCUUAGUAACGUAG